rnacentral:rRNA from 1 species
UACCAGCUCCCCGAGUGGUCGGGACGAUUAUUGGGCCUAAAGCAUCCGUAGCCGGUUCUGCAAGUCCCCCGUUAAAUCCAGCUGCUCAACAGAUGGGCCGCGGAGGAUACUACAGAGCUAGGAGGCAGGAGAGGCAAGCGGUACUCAGUGGGUAGGGGUAAAAUCCGUUGAUCCAUUGAAGACCACCAGUGGCGAAGGCGGCUUGCCAGAAUGCGCUCGACGGUGAGGGAUGAAAGCUGGGGGAGCAAACCGG